GGCUUAGGACGAACGCUGGCGGCGUGCCUAACACAUGCAAGUCGAACGGACGAGAGGAGCUUGCUCCUCGAGUUAGUGGCGAACGGGUGAGUAACGCGUGAGCAACCUGCCUUUCAGGAGGGGGACAACGGUUGGAAACGACCGCUAAUACCGCAUGAUGUAUUCGGAUCGCAUGGUCUGAAUAACCAAAGUAUUUUUAUCGCUAGAAAGAGUGGGGCUCGCGUCUGAUUAGAUAGUUGGUGAGGUAACGGCUCACCAAGUCUGCGAUCAGUAGCCGGACUGGGAGGUUGAACGGCCACAUUGGGACUGAGAUACCGGCCCAGACUCCUACGGGGAGGCAGCAGGUGGGGAAUAGUUUGGGCAAGUGGGGGAAACCCUGACCCAGCAACGCCGCGUGAAGGAAGAAGGCUUUCGGGUUGUAAACUUCUUUACCAGGGACGAAGGACGUGACGGUACCUGGAGAAAAAGCCACGGCUAACUACGUGCCAGCCGCGGC
rnacentral:rRNA from 1 species